rnacentral:rRNA from 1 species
GAGUUUGAUCCUGGCUCAGGAUGAACGCUGGCGGCGUGCUUAACACAUGCAAGUCGAACGAUGAUCCCCAGCUUGCNGGGGGGAUUAGUGGCGAACGGGUGAGUAACACGUGAGUAACCUGCCCUUAACUCUGGGAUAAGCCUGGGAAACUGGGUCUAAUACCGGAUAUGACUCCUCAUCGCAUGGUGGGGGGUGGAAAGCUUUUGUGGUUUUGGAUGGACUCGCGGCCUAUCAGCUUGUUGGUGAGGUAAUGGCUCACCAAGGCGACGACGGGUAGCCGGCCUGAGAGGGUGACCGGCCACACUGGGACUGAGACACGGCCCAGACUCCUACGGGAGGCAGCAGUGGGGAAUAUUGCACAAUGGGCGCAAGCCUGAUGCAGCGACGCCGCGUGAGGGAUGACGGCCUUCGGGUUGUAAACCUCUUUCAGUAGGGAAGAAGCGAAAGUGACGGUACCUGCAGAAGAAGCGCCGGCUAACUACGUGCCAGCAGCCGCGGUAAUACGUAGGGCGCAAGCGUUAUCCGGAAUUAUUGGGCGUAAAGAGCUCGUAGGCGGUUUGUCGCGUCUGCCGUGAAAGUCCGGGGCUCAACUCCGGAUCUGCGGUGGGUACGGGCAGACUAGAGUGAUGUAGGGGAGACUGGAAUUCCUGGUGUAGCGGUGAAAUGCGCAGAUAUCAGGAGGAACACCGAUGGCGAAGGCA